GACGAACGCUGGCGGCGUGCUUAACACAUGCAAGUCACGGGGGCUCGCAAGAGCAACCGGCGAACGGGUGCGUAACACGUGAGCAACCUGCCGAUCUGAGGGGGAUAGCCGGCCCAACGGCCGGGUAAUACCGCAUACGUUCUCGAGGGGGAGUCCUCUUGGGAAGAAACCUCCGGGGCAGAUCGAGGGGCUCGCGGCCUAUCAGCUAGUUGGCGGUGUAAUGGACCACCAAGGCUA
rnacentral:rRNA from 1 species